AUACUUACUUGGACGGGGUCUAUGGCUGAUCAUGAAGAGUCAUGAACCAGGCUAGUGGCCCAAAUUGCACUUUGUGGGUGUGCUGGCCUAUCAUCUCUCCUUUGAGGGAGAGUGGACAUCAUAAUUUGUUAUAGAGGGGGUAUGCGUUUGCGUGGCCCCUG
rnacentral:snRNA from 1 species